CUGAACCAGGAUGACGUGAACAGAACAUUUGCAAAUAUUUUGGUUUCAAUAUCUGACUCUUGUAGCAAUAUGGAAUAGAAGUUUUCAAGAAUUGCAACUGCAAUAUCCUCAUCUUCUAUCUCAUGGAGGGAUCUCAUAAACCAAGGUAAUAUAUGUGUUUUACAUACAUCUAUAAUGCUUCUUCUAAGUUCUGUGUUGAUAGAGCUUGUGGGCGUCGUCCCGCAACUAUAUGCAUAUGCCUCUUUCAGUAGGUGAAGAGAGUUACAAAACUGACCUGGGUAUUUGCGAUAAUUAAUUAAACAAGUUAAGAUGCAAUUUCUUGAUGCCUCCUGAAUUGACAGUAAGAAACUUGAAAUCUCAUAGGAAGAUGAACAUUUCAUAAGUGCAACAAGUAUUGAACAGGCCACAGUGAAUGUCUCUGGAAGCAUGCCUAUUUCUCCAUCAAGAUUUUUCUUGAGCAUCUCCGUCAAAGAAAG
rnacentral:lncRNA from 1 species